rnacentral:rRNA from 1 species
AGCGAACGCUGGCGGAAUGCCUAACGCAUGCAAGUCGCGCGGCCUCGGGCUUCGGCCUUGGGGCAGCGGCGGACGGGUGAGGAGCGCGUAGGAACGUGCCCAGGGGUGGGGGACAACGCUGGGAAACUGGCGCUAAUACCGCAUGGCUCCUUCGGGAGAAAGCCCUUCGGGGCGCCUUUGGAGCGGCCUGCGUCCGAUUAGCUUGUUGGCGGGGUAACGGCCCACCAAGGCGACGAUCGGUAGCUGGUCUGAGAGGAUGAUCAGCCACACUGGGACUGAGACACGGCCCAGACUCCUACGGGAGGCAGCAGUGGGGGAAUAUUGGACAAUGGGCGCAAGCCUGAUCCAGCAAUUCCGCGUGGGUGAAGAA